rfam:Schistosoma margrebowiei strain Zambia genome assembly, scaffold: SMRZ_scaffold0001144
AUCCAGCUGAAGAGUCCCAAACAGGACGAAACGCGCGUCCUGGAU